GUGGGGAAUUUUGGACAAUGGGCGAAAGCCUGAUCCAGCCAUGCCGCGUGCAGGAUGAAGGCCUUCGGGUUGUAAACUGCUUUUGUACGGAACGAAAAGACUCCUUCUAAUAAAGGGGGUCCAUGACGGUACCGUAAGAAUAAGCACCGGCUAACUACGUGCCAGCAGCCGCGGUAAUACGUAGGGUGCAAGCGUUAAUCGGAAUUACUGGGCGUAAAGCGUGCGCAGGCGGUUAUAUAAGACAGAUGUGAAAUCCCCGGGCUCAACCUGGGAACUGGAGUUGUGACUGUAGAGCUAGAGUACGGUAGAGGGGGAUGGAAUUCCGCGUGUAGCAGUGAAAUGCGUAGAUAUGCGGAGGAACACCGAUGGCGAAGGCAAUCCCCUGGACCUGUACUGACGCUCAUGCACGAAAGCGUGGGGAGCAAACAGGAUUAGAUACCCUAGUAGUCC
rnacentral:rRNA from 1 species